rnacentral:pre_miRNA from 1 species
GCAGUCGGUUUCACGUUAAUCCACAUGUGUUGGGGUGGAUUGAAGUAGAACUUAAACUAAAUUCCACUCCAAUACAUGUGGAUUGAGGUGAAUCCGACA